rnacentral:rRNA from 1 species
UAUGGUGGCUAUGGCGUCAGGGAUCACCUCUUCCCAUUCCGAACAGAGUCGUUAAGCCUGACUGCGCCGAUGGUACUGGGUUACACCGGGAGAGUAGGUCGCCGCCAUUU